GGAAGUUCUGCCCUGCCUGGCCAUGCCCCAUCCACACACACAUUGACGAGGAGCCCACCCCAGCCAAGGUUCUGUUUGGCUCCCGUCUGGGGCUCCUCAGUCUCCAUCGCCUCAUUCCCAAGUGCAGGAAACUGAUUCCAAGGAUAGUGCUUUCUAUACAUUGCAGAAAUAGUGCUGGAAUAAGGGCAUCUCUGAGAAGAUCCGUUCAGCUGUCAGAGAGCACUCAGGGAUGCCUCCCACUGGUGUGCAGAAGUAACUGGCAUGAAAGUACGUUAGAAUUCACCACCCACCUGAGGUAAGCGAGGCAUUUAAAAAUGCAUACCUAUUUCAAGUAAAAACAGAUGCCUCAUUGUCAUUUCUGUGACUCUCACAGUGAUUUUGUCUUCAAGCUGUCUUUUUUUCCUCUAAGGAACUGAAGGCACAAUGACCUGGGAUUGUCAGUGUUCUCUACUGUGUCCAAACUGGAUGCUGUUCAGAGAAGGGCUCAUCAUCCGGGGCCCAGCAGUCUUCUCCCCCGACAACUCCAGCUUUUCUGCACUGCCCAUUCUCUGCCCUUUUUUGCACUCACCUUAAAUUGUAUUCCAAUAUCCUUACACGUGAUUUUAUAUGUUCUUAUAUCACGGUGUGUAUGUGUGUUUCGGCUUAUGAAAGACAGAGAUACAGAUACAGAGAACGAGGAAGGGAGAGAAGGAAUGAGAGAGAAAGAGCAUGAGAGAGAGAAUAAGAGAGAGAAUGAGAGAGAGAAUGAGGGAGAAAAUGAAUUAGACCACAAAAGCAGGGCAUAGACCACGAGGAUGUUUAUUUGCCUGCUGGCUAAGGCACCUAUAUUUUCUAGGGCAGAAUAACUUUUCAUGUGUUUUGAGCGGGGGAGGGAGGCAGUGAACAGUAGCUUGAACGAUAGCUUCUCUGUAAACAUUGUCAGUAAACUGCAGGAGAAACACCGCCCCUCUUCAAAAACGACUGUAGUGAAAAUGGAGCAGGUGGGACUGCGGCUAGGAGGCUGGUAGGUGGGCUGUAGAGUUUUCGCCACCAAAUGACCGCAGCUGUUCACAGAUGAGCUGGAAGCCUGGAGUGCCACAUGUGCAUGCCACUUCGUUCCUGGGACAGCCCCUGUGUGUGCUGGGUGACGUGUCGCCACCAAGCCAGGCCUCAUGAGCACAAGGUUAGAUCCUCAGUGCUAAAAAGGUGCUGGGUCCGGGAGGGGGACAGCAGACUGAGGUCGAGGGAAGCCCUGGAAAUGCUGAGAGGUCAAGGGGAUGGUGAGGGACUUUUAUGUUCCCAGUACAGGAAGACAAAAAAUGUAUUUCAAGAGGAAAUGAUGCUUCAUUUACAACACACUUUCCCAGGUUAUCUGAUUCUGGGCCUUGCGUUGUCUUUUAUCAGUUGUGGGGUUGGAGUGAGUGUGGGUCACAGGCGUGCCUGUGCUUCUCCAGGUUUCACAAGCCCCGUUGAAGGGUGCAGCCUGCUGCUUUAAUAUUUGUUGCAGGCUGACCUGGUUCCUGUUUUAGUUCUGCCACUAGGUGGCGCAAGCUAACCAAUUAGGGCUGCGGCGCUCAAUGCAGACGGCAAAGGCAUCAUGAUCUGACGUUCCUGGAUUUGAAUCCUUUGUUAGUUUUGUGACCUUGGGCAAGCCACAGUUUCUCCUUCUGUAAAUUAGACAUGAUGAAAAUCACCUUGCAGGGUGGUUGUGAGGAUUAAAUGAAAAGACAUGUGCUAAGCACCUUGCACAGUGUUAGGCACACAGUCUAAAUUGCUGCUUUUCUCUUUUCUUGUUCAUCCAUUCAAUACACACUUAUUGAUCCAUAUUUCUGUGUCAUGGCUGAUAAGGACUUUGUCUGCAAGCAUCCUUUAGCAGAAGGUCUUACAAACAGACACACACACACACACACACACACACACACACACACACUACAGUCUUUGCUGGAAUAUAAGAUAUAUCUUCUACCCCCUGGUUCAAAUUCAUCCAAAAUUUACUCUGUGCAAAUGUAUUUAUGUAUGAAAAGCCACAUUCUGAAGAGGAAACACAAUGGUAAAUAUAUAGCAACAACAACAACAGCAAACACUGUGAAUAUACUCAUUUCAUGCUUCUCUAACUUUCUCAGAAAAAUUACAAGCCAUAGGCCUCACAACUCAUCAAGUACAAUGUCAAUUUUCCCACCUAAUUUUUAUUUAAAAUAUUUUAUUCCUGUAAUACUUUCAUUUCAAUUAUUUAUUGCUAUAAAUACUUUUCUUUUUAAUCUAUAUAAUAUUAUGCUUUUCUUUCCAGAGUUAGAAGAGUAUUCCUAUAUAUGCAGAAUCUAUUAUUCCCUACUGGGUUCUGCUAUAGAGUAUUACAUGAACAAGAUAACAUGUUUCCCUCAUAAAAACAAUUUAAAAUCCUUUUCAGGCUGGGCGCGGUGGCUCACGCCUGUAAUCCCAGCACUUUGGGAGGUCGAGGAGGGCAGAUCACGAGGUCAAGAGAUCGAGACCAUCCUGGCCAACAUGGUGAAACCGUCUCUACUAAAAAUACAAAAAUUAGCUGGGUGUGGUGGCAUGCACCUGUAGUCCCAGCUACUCAGGAGGCUGAGGCAGGAGAAUCACUUGAACCCGGGAGGCGGAUGUUGCAGUGGGCCGAGAUUGCACCACUGCACUCCAGCCUGGCAACAGAGCGAGACUCCAUCUCAAAAAAAAAAAAAAAAAAAAAAACCACUUUCAAAACAUGUAUGUUUGUCCCAGAGGAGGGCACAGUGACCCUUAGGACAGUUCCCUCAGGAUGGCCCUGGGCUGUGGGCCAGUGUGCUCUGAGUGGAGGGUGUGUGAAGAGGAGGUUGUAGGGGCCAACUUGCGAGGGAUUUGCAUGUAACACUAAGGAGGUCAGGUUGUUUCCACAGGAAACUGUGAGCCACAGCAAGCUUCUGAGCUGAGGAAGAUGGGAUAAUGCCCCCAGCCAUAAUCUCUUGAAAAAGCAAGGUCCAUCCAAAGCUGAAGGCCAGAUAGCUUCAUUCACAGUCAUACCCCAAACCUUCUUCCCAUCCCACCUCCUCUUUUUCCCUCUUCCUCCUUCUACUGUUCAUUCAUUCAACAAAUGUCUAUUACCCAUAUACCAUAUUGCAGAUACUGUUUUAGACACUCCAGUUAAUCACUGAAAAAAUAGUGACAAAGCUUCUUCCUCCCUGGAGCUUGCAGAAACACUUUCUCAUUAUGAUAUUUGCAUAUGCAUGUGUCUUCUUUCAUAUGGGCCUCCUGAGCUGUUUGCGGCUACAGUCCUCCAUGUGGAAGAAGCCGGGAAUAUGGCUUUUCCCCUGAGGCCCAGCUGCACCCCUGCCCUUCCCAUGGAUUGGGGAACCCUUCCUUCAAUUUCAUGUGAUGCUUCAGUAUUUUUCCAGUAAUCUCCCCUGCUUCUACAGGACCAAACCGGUUCAAUUUCAGUUUCUGUCACAUGCCAUCAAAAUGUUCCUGCUAGAAAGGACCCAGCCAAGAAAACUGGAAAGAAUUUCUUGAUUAUGUUUAGGAUGUAGGACCAGCCCUAGAGUGGGGCCAAGGGCCCUGUGGCAGGAUUCCCACAGGUGUCUGGAUGGCUGGGCCCUGUUUCCGUUCUAGGGCCUAAGUUGGAGACUGAAUGUGCAUCAGCCAUGUUAGUCUAGAAAGCCUGUGUUAUAAAGGAAGACUGUGCUCAUGUGUGGUUUAGUUUGGGUUUCCCUGAAAGCAGAGCAUGAGACAAGGACUGGAUGCAGGUGGUUCAUGAGGGGUGUGAACCUGGGAAGCAGGAGUGUGGGAGUGAGGAUGUGAGAUGGGGCAGAAGGAGGCGCCAAUAUAAGGACACGUUAAAGUUGCCACUUGAUUCUGUUGACCCUCUUAAAAAAUAUACAGGAUGCGUUGUAUAAUUAUCCACCUGAAAGACAGAGGCCAGACAUCCAUCCACUGGUUCCCAUCCCCUCAGUGACUGAGAGUUGUCCUGGGAGUGUUAACUGUCCUAGCAAGCCUGAGGACAUGUGAUACAGGCACCAGAGGUUUCUCCGCCAUACCUUACUGAACUUUGGAGUUAUAUUUUAAAUUAUAUGACCUCAGUUUGGGUGACAUGCCCCUGGCACAGACGAGGUUGUCUCUGGCUCAUAUCUGGAAUAUUAGCCUCUGCCAGGACUCCAGUCUUAAGCAUGGGUCUGGUAAGAAAGAGAUGAGCUUCCAGAAGUUCUAAUGAGAUUCUCAUUCAACUUUGCACUGUCUACAUGCCGAUGGUGAGGCUGCUUUGUGGGGGCUCAAGGAGUCUGCACAUUCUUCAAAACAUGUAGCUUUCUCUAGUGUGUACCCCAACUGUGCUGACUUCCUUAAACCUUGGAUUUGCCCAAUGGCGUUAGGAUGCCUGGCCCAUCCUCCAGCCUGGGCCAACUAUUGGCAUUGAUCAGUGUAGCAGUGGUGCACAAAUCCUGUUGCUCUCUAAGUUCAGAAUCCUGUUUAAAGCUCUCCUGUGUGGCUGCAGCCAGCAGCAGAGUCUGCCCCUGGAAUGCCUGUUCCUCUCCUUCCUGGCAGCCAGGCUCCAUUUAGUUUAAGGAUUUUGUGCCAGGAAUGUUAUCUGAGCUGUCACCAUCAUGCUUUGUCACCCUCAAGUGAAUGACAGGAAAUGGAUCGGCGAGCUCUGUCAGUUUCCUUGCUGCUGGCAUCACUCAGGUUCAACCAUGAGCAUCGCACUGUGAGUCACUGAGGAGGUGGACAGAAGCCACUCAAACGUCUCUGCCAGACUUCAAAAGAGCUUUAGGAGAUAGAAGAGUCCUAUCGAUCGGUGCCUGUUCUUCUGUCUUGAUUGUUACUUUGAGCCAUGCAGCUGUGUUACCAUGGGUGCCUGCCACUCUUCUGAGUGUGCAGAGCCUGUGUCUUAUGAGACCUGAGAAAGAAAAAGUCAUCAACCCCCAGGUCUGACUGGAGCCCGCUCCUUACUUAACAUACACAACUUCACAGAACACGACAUCAGACAAGGUCAAUCUGUGGCUGUGGUGGAGUGAGACAACAAGACCACACUGAAAUAAGAACACCCAGCACACUGUGAAAAUGACCAAAUAGCUCCUUCUCCUGGCAAAUAUGAGGGGUGUUUAUCAAGUACAGCUCCAGCCCUGCUCUGUUCUUCCCACAAUCACCUAGAUACAAAUUAUUAGGAUGCCCGUUUAUAAAAUUGUCCCAGUUUCUGACAGCUCCCUAGCAAGACCAUGCUUCCCAAUCUUUUCCCAAAUCACCUAACCCAAGCCCUGACCUCCUGAGAAGCUCCUUUGGACACUGUCCUACUGAGACACCCAUGGUUCCUCAUGUGGGUGGUCUUCCUUGCUACACCUGCCAAUAAACCUAACUUUGAUCACCCAGAGGUAUGUUCCUGGUGGUGCUGGCGGGUGGGCAUAGCCCCAAGGGAAGCUGGCCAGUGCCAACCUCUGCACAGGAAGGAGGUGCUCCCUGGGCGCCCACUGCAUCAGCUGCAGAAGUGAUCUCUGGGAGCCAUUUGGCAAGGCGAGCUGGGCUCUGACCUGAGGGAACCUUUGUUGGUUGGCUCUUAUUGCAGAUGUUUCGGUGUCCAGUGUCGCAUCCUUGGGCCUCCUUGGAUAUCAGCCCCAGCUCUGGCCGAACUUCCAUGGGGGCUUAGAUUCAUCUUGCACGACAUCCAGGUCAAGCCCCACCCUCUCCACAUUUCUGCCUUGGGGUCUUCUCUAAAGCCUUGGGAGCCUGGUCUGCUCUUGCAAGUGCAGCCUGCAAAGUGUAUCCCAGGGAGUGAAUGGCCCCGGGUGUAACCCUCAACCAAUAAGAGAGGAGAGCUGGUGGGAAAAUGUCUCAGUCUGGUGUUCUUUAGGUAGAUAGUUCUGGAACAUGUUCUGUGGGCAUCUCAGAGUAGAAAGAAUCGAACCCCAUUGCUCAAAGCACCCUUACAUUGACUUUUCUUCCCUGCCUAUCUUACUCUUCCCUCUCUCUCACUCCUGCUUCCUGGGAUCACCUCCCAAAUAAAUCACCUGCAUCCAAGGCCUUGCUCAGGUUCUGCACUUACAUUACCCUAAACUAAGACACCUACCCAGCAAUCCCUACCACCACCUCCUUCUUACAGAAUUUUCUUUUCUUUUCUUUUCUUUUUUGAGACAGGGUCUCUCUUUGUCACCCAAGCUGGAGGGCAGUGGCACAAUCACGGCUCACGGCAGCCUUGACCUCCCAGCCUCAAGUGAUCUUCUUGCCUCGGCCUCCUGAGUAGCUGGGACUACAGGCAUGUGCUACAAUGCCUAGGUAUUUUAUUUUACUUUUAUUUUAUUUUAUUUUUUUUUGGUAGAGAUUGGUUUUUGCCAUGUUGCCCAAGCUGGUCUCGAAUUCCUGGGCGCAAGAGAUUUGCCUGCCUCGGCCUCCUAAAGUGCUGGGAUUAUAGGCAUGAGCCACCACGCUCAGCCCCUACAGAGUUUCUUAACCAUAAUAUUGGCCAAAAUUGUUUCCACCUCCAGCUCUAAUCAAGAUUUCCCAAGCUCCUGGUCACAGAGAUUAGUUCAGGGGCAGACGCAUUCUGCAAGUCAGUUCAGUCAGAGUAAACAGUAGAGCUUUGCUGGGGAUUCUGGGACAUAGACUCAGUCUUAGCCACUGGGCCUGCAGGCAUGGUGGCUUAAGGAUAGCUGCACACUUUUGCUACUUGUCCCUUUGAUAAGUGGGGUCUGCUUCCCCUCCUCCCUGAGCCUGGGCUGGCCUGUGAUUGCUUUGAGCAAAGGAGUAUGCUGGAGGAGAUGUUAUGUCAGUCCCAGGUCUGGCCUUUAAGAAGACUGGCAGAAAUCCUGUUGGUCUCUGGAGAUGUUCAACCACUGUGUAAGAUAGCUGCCACAGAGAUGACGGAGACAAGUCUUGAGAUUAUAUGGAGAGGGGAGGGCCCAGCUGAGUCCAGCCUGCCAGCCUCCCCUGCCAUGUGAGAAGCUCUUUUGUACCCUCCAGAAAAGAACAGCCAUGAGCUGACACCACCAAGUGACACCAGUUAGAGCCCCAUGAAGCAGAGGACUUGCCUAGUUGAUCAUGAGCCAUAAUAGUUGCUGUUUUGGCCGGGUGUGGUGGCUCACGGCUGUAAUCCCAGCACUUUGGGAGGCCGAGGUGAGUGGAUCACCUGAGGUCAGGAGUUCAAGACCAGCCUAGCCUACAAG
rnacentral:lncRNA from 1 species